ensembl:lncRNA
UGUCCAGCAUCCUCCCCCUGAUUCAACUCACCACCAGGUGGUGAUCAGUUGACAGCUUAGCACUUUUCUUCACCCAAGUAUCCAGAGUAUAUGGCAGCAGAUCUGUCUCUACCCCUGGCCAUCACCCAGUAUGCACUUCACCAGUGUGUGAAUGACUGAAUGUAGUGUGAAGCGCUUUGGGGUCCUUAGGGACUAGAAAAGCGCUAUACAAAUGCAGGCCAUUUACCAUUUUUACCAUUCACCUGACCCUUACGGUGACUCCUGCAGGUGGUGGGCCUACAGGAAGGGGGGGGGGGGGGGGGGGGGCAAUGUCCCUUCUUUGGGCUGUGCCUGGUCUAAGGCCAGGCCACCAGGCACUUUCCUUUCCGCGGGAUGAACUAUUCGUUAAAUCUUCUACUCACAGGGGUUUUCCGAAUUGCUGUUUGUAUGGUCUCUUACCCAGGACUUCAUCCCCUGAAAAUUCUUUGCCCCCCGCCAAAAAAAAAGAAAAAAAAGAAUUGUCCCCAUCUUCACCACAUCCACAUUCUCCGACUUGAGAUCAUGGAUAACCAGUUAUCUAACGGAUAUUUUGAACACUUUACACAUCAGUCGCACUCAUGAGAACAUUUACACAUGGACAAGAUGGAGUGUGUGGUUGUAUUUAUGUAGCUCAGAUCAACCCAUAACUAAAUGUUUUCUUCUUAUUGUUCCAGAGUUAUUCCAUGGAAGUUAGAUGAAGCAGUCAGGUUCUUUGGGAAUCUGUUCCGUGCAGCAGCAGAGAGAGAACAGAGGACAGGAGAGAAGAUACUGGAGCUGUUAUCAUCAGUGUGCAGAUAUAAAGGAUUUCCUCUCAAAGGCAAAUGGUGUGAUUUCCUCAUGGACCUGUACUCUUAUGAGACUAAAACAGGCUUGAGUGUCCUUCCAUCAUUACAGUCAGUUUUCCAGUCCACUCCUGCAGUCUGGUCCAUAAACCUUUCAAAGAGAAAGACCUCCAUCCUCCUGGAAGUGCUGAAACACCAACCAGAGAAGAAACAAGUGAAGCUGACAGGCUGCUCACAUGAAGAGAGUGAAGUGAGGAGUUUCCUGCAGUGUCUGCCUUAUAUCUCACAGCUCAGUGUUGAUACUAAGACAUCAGAUGAAGACACAACAAAGUUCUUUGGGAAUCUGUUCUGUGCAGCAGCAGAGAGAGAACAGCAGACAGGAGAGAAGAUACUGGAGUUGUUAUCAUCAGUGUGCAGAUAUCAAACAUUCCCUUUUGGGAACAUGGCUUUGAAUAAAUAUAGAACGAAAUAUCAGUGUAAUUUCCUGCUGGAUCUGUACUCUCAUGUGACUAAAACAGGCUUGAGUGUCCUUCCAUCAUUACAGUCAGUUUUCCAGUCAGCUCCUGCAGUCUGGUUCAUAAACCUCUCAGAGAGAAAGACCUCCAUCCUCCUGGAAGUGCUGAAACUCCAACCAGAGAAGAAACAGGUGGAGCUGACAGGCUGCUCACAUGAAGAGAGUGAAGUGAGGAGUUUCCUGCAGUGUCUGCCUUACAUCUCACAGCUCAGUGUUGUUCCUCGGUUAUCAGAACCUUCAGAAGA